rnacentral:lncRNA from 1 species
AGAUCUUGGCUUGAUUCGCGGUCAAUCCAAAGAAAGUGGUAAUCAAACACCUUUAAAUGACCAAUUAAUGAAGUUGAACAGAGUUGGGUGCAUGGGACAAAUGUUGAGAUGAAGAAGAAGCCAUGGCCUGUUAGAGUAAGAAAAUGCAAAAUGACCCACUUGGAAUGUUGUAGUGAAGAACAGUAAAGAAUAAAACAUCAUCAAAGCAAUGUCCCGUGGUCAUUUUCGUUUUUCAUAUUUAUGAAAGGUACCCGUGGUCGUUUUCUCCCUUGUGCGAAUGUCGUCGUUCAGGCGUUCACAACCGAGGUAAAGAUGCUUGUCACUGAAACCGUAUCCGCACUGUAGUUGCAAACUGGGCAGGAUGAUGUUUGCCACCGGUGGGAGAGAGCACCGGAGAAGUAAAAGGGAUGAAAUGACGGAAAAGGCAAUAGCGGCUAUGGUUGUAAAUUUAAUCUUUCUAUUUCUCAUUUUGAAUUUGUUACUCUUACCAUUUAAUUCACUAAUUAAUUAAGUAUCUCAUUUUUUUAAA